GAUGAACGCUGGCGGCGUGCCUAAUACAUGCAAGUAGAACGCUGAAGGAAGGGGCUUGCUCUUUCCGGAUGAGUUGCGAACGGGUGAGUAACGCGUAGGUAACCUGCCUGGUAGCGGGGGAUAACUAUUGGAAACGAUAGCUAAUACCGCAUAACAGUAGAUGUUGCAUGAUAUCUACUUAAAAGGUGCAAUUGCACCACUACCAGAUGGACCUGCGUUGUAUUAGCUAGUUGGUGAGGUAACGGCUCACCAAGGCGACGAUACAUAGCCGACCUGAGAGGGUGAUCGGCCACACUGGGACUGAGACACGGCCCAGACUCCUACGGGAGGCAGCAGUAGGGAAUCUUCGGCAAUGGACGGAAGUCUGACCGAGCAACGCCGCGUGAGUGGAGAAGGGUUUCGGAUCGUAAAGCUCGGUUGUAAGAGAAGAACGAGUGUGAGAGUGGAAAGUUCACACUGUGACGGUAUCUUACCAGAAAGGGACGGCUAACUACGUG
rnacentral:rRNA from 1 species